rnacentral:misc_RNA from 1 species
GAUCCGCCUCUUCUCUGGAUCCCAAUUCAUCUUCAACAGUCCUAAACCUAGGGAAAAGAGUGAAGAAUUAAAGGCGAGACUGAAGAAACUCCAAGAAUUGGCCGAGAGGAAUGCAUAUCAAGAGCUUGUUAAGGAUAUUACGCCAAAGAAGGAUGAGAAUGAGCCUUUCUCCUCUUACAAGGAUCAGCUUGGUUUUGGUUUACAUGUUGCGCUUACCAUGUUUACUGGCUACCUUGUGGGAUAUGCAGCAUUCAGGGCAUUGUUUGGCCACAAUCCUGCAAUGAGUGCUGCUGGAGGGAUUCUUGGUUUAGUGUGUGGAAUGCUUGUAGAAACACUCCUUUUCAUUAUUAGAACUUCUAAUCAAGAUCCUAAAUCAUCAACUUCUACGUCUACGCUGAAGAAGAAUCAGUAGACUUGAUACAAAGAGGUUGGUUUUCUGAAUCUGUGUUGUUGGAUUCUGAGUUGUAAAGGUAGUUUAUUUAUCAAUAUUUGUUGUUUCCCGUCAUCUGAAUACCGGAUUCUGAGUAGACAUGGUCACCGUGUAUGCGGAACUCGGUUUGGAAAUUCAACAACGGACAUGAACAAAAUUUAGCAUCAAGCCC